rnacentral:rRNA from 1 species
AUUGAACGCUGGCGGCAGGCCUAACACAUGCAAGUCGAACGAGUGGCGGACGGGUGAGUAAUGUCUGGGAAACUGCCUGAUGGCGGGGGAUAAUUACUGGAAACGGUAGCUAAUACCGCAUACCAUCGGAUUUGCCCAGAUGGGAUUAGCUGGUAGGUGAGGUAACGGCUUACCUAGGCGACGAUCCCUAGCUGGUCUGAGAGGAUGACCAGCCACACUGGAACUGAGACACGGUCCAGACUCCUACGGGAGGCAGCAGUGGGGAAUAUUGCGCAAUGGGCGAAAGCCUGAUGCAGCCAUGCCGCGUGUAUGAAGAAGGCCUUCGGGUUGUAAAGUACUUUCAGCGGGGAGGCGUUACCCGCAGAAGAAGCACCGGCUAACUCCGUGCCAGCAGCCGCGGUAAUAC